rnacentral:rRNA from 1 species
GUGAACGCUGGCGGUAGGCCUAACCCCUGCAAGUCGCACGGCAGCACAGUAAGAGCUUGCUCUUACGGGUGGCGAGUGGCGGACGGGUGAGGAAUACAUCGGAAUCUACUUUUUCGUGGGGGAUAACGUAGGGAAACUUACGCUAAUACCGCAUACGACCUACGGGUGAAAGCAGGGGAUCUUCGGACCUUGCGCGAUUAAAUGAGCCGAUGUCGGAUUAGCUAGUUGGCGGGGUAAAGGCCCACCAAGGCGACGAUCCGUAGCUGGUCUGAGAGGAUGAUCAGCCACACUGGAACUGAGACACGGUCCAGACUCCUACGGGAGGCAGCAGUGGGGAAUAUUGGACAAUGGGCGCAAGCCUGAUCCAGCCAUACCGCGUGGGUGAAGAAGGCCUUCGGGUUGUAAAGCCCUUUUGUUGGGAAAGAAAAGCAGCAGGUUAAUACCCCGCUGUUCUGACGGUACCCAAAGAAUAAGCACCGGCUAACUUCGUG